rnacentral:rRNA from 1 species
UACAGAGGGUGCGAGCGUUAAUCGGAAUUACUGGGCGUAAAGAGCACGUAGGUGGUCGAGUAAGUUGGAUGUGAAAUCCCCGGGCUUAACUUGGGAACUGCAUUCAAUACUGCUUGGCUAGAGUAGGGUAGAGGAAAGCAGAAUUUCCGGUGUAGCGGUGAAAUGCGUAGAUAUCGGAAGGAAUACCAGUGGCGAAGGCGGCUUUCUGGACUCAUACUGACACUGAGGUGCGAAAGCAUGGGGAGCAAACAGG